rnacentral:lncRNA from 1 species
AGGGGUCUCACUAGUUUAGGGCCUUGCUAAGUUGCUGAGGCUGGCUUAGAACUGGCAAUUCUCCUGUCUCAGUCUCCUGAGUUGUUCAGCAAAGUGUUAUAUCUUUUUUAGUUAAGGAGAAAGAAGUUCCACCCAUAUUUAAUUCUUUAAAACCUGAUACAUGUAACAUUACAAUUCAGAAUUGAAAGGGAUCUUAGGGAUCAGCUAGUCAAAAAGUUAAAAACUACCAGCCCAAAGUCCAAAUUUUCAUGCCUCAAAUAGAUUUUUUUUUGUUACAACAUUCACAAUAUUUUUUGAGUUUAGAUGACUCUACCUGUAUAAGUGUUUUCUAUUAUUUGACCACAGUCCACACCAAUUCAUAAUACACCUUGCUGCUUCAGUCAUGUUCUUGCCUUCCUGACAAGAAGAAUGUAUCUGAAUGUUCAGUAUUCUCCCCUUCUCUCAUUCACUCAUUUUACAAAGUUAACAGACAACUGAGAAUUAAGUUAUUUACCUCAAAAUAUACAACUUUUUAAGUAGAGCCAUGCCUCUUAAAUCCCAAGAUAGUGUUGCUUUCUACAGCCUAAUGUUACCUUUUAGGAAACAAUACAGUAUAGUAUAUAAUCAAGUCUUAAGAUAUUUGGUAUAGCCUGUCAGAAAGAGGAAUAAUCACUGUGAGUUAGAUACUAAUGAAAGAAUACUUCAGAGACAUCCUUAUCACAGCCUCCUGAGAACUAUAUCCUCAGUGUAUGCUAAUCAGGAAGACUUUAUUCUGAUCUGUGAUUGUUCUUACUAUAUAGGGGGAAGAAAGACAUGAAUAUACUCCUAUAAAAGCUGAUAAAGGAAAUCAGUGAAUAGCAUUUUGUACAUACAGAAAAACAGUACCUCAUAAGGCCACCUACAUCUAGAUUCCUCCAAAAAUACCAUUUAUACUUCUAUUAGCAGAGGAAGAAGGGUCAUUAAAGCCAGGAGCUCUCCAGUGGAUUCUGGAUAAAUCUUCAACUCCCAAAUCCAAAUGUAACUUCAGCCACAAAUUAAUUGACAUGCUACCAAAGAUGAUUAAUAAAUGCCUAGUAGAACAAAGUCUAGUGAUAGAAUCUUUUGGUAAAAACAGGAUGUUAAUAUUAAUCCAUUGACAGGAAGUCUUAGGUACUUAGCUUCAGGUAGUUCUUUUACCUUAUCUGAAGUGCUUAAUAACAACCCAGUUCAUCCACUCCUAUACCGUUCAUCUUCUUUAACUUGCCUUGUUUGAUUGGUUUUUUUGUUUGUUUUUUUUUUCCCAUUCUUUAUACUGCUAAUCACAUCUUGACAUAUUUUAUAUUAGCUUUGUUUUUCUUCCUUUAGAUAGUAAAUUCUGAGGACAAACUCUUGUUCACUGCUUUGCUUUAGUCCCAUUGUCUAGAACAGUGUCAGGCAUAUAGUAAGCACACUUGCAUAUAUUUGUUGAUGUAGAAUAUUGAAUGGUAAAUUAUAGUAGUCUUGAUGGAAGCUGUCAUUUCCUAGAUUUUCUUUUCCAAUCCAUAGAUUGUAGUACAGCUUUAGUAAAUUGAUUGAACUACAGCUUUAGUAAAUGUUCACACCAACUAGUUAAUCGAGAAUUUUGGUUGGUUUUUUUGUUUGUUUGUUUGUUUUAACAUGUAAGCCUUUUAUUAGGAUUUUUAAUUUGCUUGAUUAUUUUUAGAAUUCUUGUUCAUAAUUUAGAUCAAUAAUUUGGAUCUACAGUUGGGUCUUAUUAAUGAAGAAUGUUAAUAGGUAAUACAGAAUGGUAAAUAAUUGAAUCAGUUAUUUGCUUUUUGGUAUGACUUUAAUAACAGUGGAAUAUAUUUAGAGUAAAGCCAUUUCUCAACUUUUUUGUUUGACUUAUAAAUAUCCAAGAUUUUCUGCUACAUCAGAAUCAUUAUGACAUUCAUUAUUUUGUCUUCUUGUGAAAAUACCACAAGUAUUUCAUGAAAUAAUAUCUUAGAUAAAUUUAUUGAACUUAGUGUAAAAUAGGAUUAUGUCUUUUUGCCACUUUUCAUUUUAAGCAGUUAUGAAACAACCACUGAAAACUGACUCUGGAAGUAGCUGUAGGAGGUUUUGUUUUUAUGUUUUUGCUGUGGUUUGCUCUAGGACUAGAACUAAACAACUUCUUAAAUUGAUAAAAAGAAUGUGAGCAAAGCUAGUCUAUAAGUAAGUGGGGAAAAUAUAGAAAUAAUAAAUAAACAACUUUUAAAUGAAUGAAUCGCGUGGCCUAUAAUCUCAGUGGCUCGGGAAGCUGAGGCAGGUGAAUUGCCGGUUCAGAGCCAACCUCAGCAACUUAACAAGGCCCUAAGUAACUCAGUGAGACCUUGUCUCAAAAAAAAAAGGGGGGGUGGGGGUAGGAAUGUGGCUCAGUGGUUAGGUGGCCCUGGGUUCAAUCCCCAGUACCAAAAGUAAUGAUGAUAGUGAUAAUGACCUCUUUUUAAUGUGGGGGAUCAAACCCUGGACCUCACACACGAUGCAUGUGCUCUACUAUUAAGCUAUACCCCAAGCACAAAAAUAAUUUUUUCAGACAUUAUAAACAUUUAUACAUUUGGAAAAUUAGAUUAAAAAUGUUGAAAUUUAACAAUAGUGAAACUUUGUUUUGAUAGUUUUCUUUAAAAAUUUAACUCAUUUACCUCAUCUAUAAUCUGGAACAAACAAGGUAAACGAUACUUCACAUUUAUAAUUAUAGAAGCUGUCUUUUUUACUGAUGAAGGAAUGUGUCUUUUAGUGGAAUUAGUGGUAACACUCCUAAUAUGCGC